rnacentral:rRNA from 1 species
CCUACGGGAGGCAGCAGUGGGGAAUAUUGCGCAAUGGGCGAAAGCCUGACGCAGCGACGCCGCGUGAGGGAUGAAGGUCUUCGGAUCGUAAACCUCUGUCAGCAGGGAAGAACGGUCACUGUGCUAAUCAGCAGUGAAUUGACGGUACCUGCAAAGGAAGUACCGGCUAACUCCGUGCCAGCAGCCGCGGUAAUACGGAGGGUGCGAGCGUUAAUCGGAAUUACUGGGCGUAAAGCGCUCGUAGGCGGUAUGUCAAGUCAAGGGGGAAAUCCCCGCGCUCAACGUGGGAACUGCCUUUGAAACUGGCAAACUGGAGUGUGUGAGAGGAUAGUGGAAUUCCAGGUGUAGGAGUGAAAUCCGUAGAGAUCUGGAGGAACACCAGUGGCGAAGGCGACUAUCUGGCACAUAACUGACGCUGAGGAGCGAAAGCGUGGGUAGCAAACAGGAUUAGAUACCCUGGUAGUC